rnacentral:tRNA from 1 species
UCCUGGUUAGCUCAGACGGCAGAGCGCUCCACUGGAAGUGGAGAAGUCCCUGGUUCGAUACUAGGUCCAGGCG